AGCCUUAAGGUGUUAGUCAUGUCGAAUUGCAAAUUCGAAGGUGUAGAUAAUUAUCUACUAAGGCUU
rnacentral:tRNA from 1 species